rnacentral:rRNA from 1 species
UACGAAGGGGGCUAGCGUUGCUCGGAUUUACUGGGCGUAAAGGGCGCGUAGGCGGACAGUUAAGUUGGGGGUGAAAGCCCAGGGCUCAACCUCGGAACUGCCUUCAAUACUGGCUGUCUUGAGUGUGAGAGAGGUGUGUGGAACUCCGAGUGUAGAGGUGAAAUUCGUAGAUAUUCGGAAGAACACCAGUGGCGAAGGCGACACACUGGCUCACUACUGACGCUGAGGCGCGAAAGCGUGGGGAGCAAACAGG